GAUGAAGAACGUAGCGAAAUGCGAUACGUAAUGUGAAUUGCAGAAUUCAGUGAAUCAUCGAAUCUUUGAACGCAUAUUGCGCUCUCUGGUAUUCCGGAGAGCAUGCUUGUUUGAGUAUCAGUAAACACCUCAACUUCCAUAUCUUUUUUGAAAUGGGAGUUGGACUUGAGUGAUCCCAACGCUUUUCCUCACCGAAAAGUGGCGGGUUACUUGAAAUGCAGGUGCAGCUGGCCUUUUCUCUGAGCUAUAAGCAUAUCUAUUUAGUCUGCCUAAAAAACAGAUUAUUACCUUUGCUGCAGCUAACAUAAAGGAGAUUAGUUCUUGUGCUGACUGAUGCAGGAUUCACAAAGACGGCUUCGGCCGACUUUGUAAACUCGAUCUCAAAUCAAGUAAGACUACCCGCUGAACUUAAGCAUAUCAAUAAGCGGAGGA
rnacentral:misc_RNA from 1 species